GCUGGGCUUGGUGGCGCGUGCCUGUAGUCCCAGCUACUCGGGAGGCUGAGGCGGGAGGAUCGCUUGAGCCCAGGAGUCCUGGGCUGUAGUGCGCUAUGCCGAUUGGGUGUCUGCACUAAGUUCAGCAUCAAUAUGGUGACCUCUCUGGAGCAGGGGACCACCAGGUUGCCUAAGGAGGGGUGAACCGACCCAGGUUGGAAAUGGAGCAGGUCAAAACUCCUGUGCUGAUCAGUAGUGGGAUCGUGCUUGUGAAUAGCCACUGCACUCCAGCCUGGGCAACGUGGCGACACCCUGUCUCCU
ensembl:misc_RNA Metazoa_SRP Metazoan signal recognition particle RNA